UAAGCCGUUGAAGGUGUGCUGUGAGGCAUGCUGGAGGUAUCAGAAGUGCGAAUGCUGACAUAAGUAACGAUAAAGCGGGUGAAAAGCCCGCUCGCCGGAAGACCAAGGGUUCCUGUCCAACGUUAAUCGGGGCAGGGUGAGUCGACCCCUAAGGCGAGGCCGAAAGGCGUAGUCGAUGGGAAACAGGUUAAUAUUCCUGUACUUGGUGUUACUGCGAAGGGGGGACGGAGAAGGCUAUGUUAGCCGGGCGACGGUUGUCCCGGUUUAAGCAUGUAGGCGGAGGUUCCAGGUAAAUCCGGUACCUUUUAACGCUGAGGUGUGAUGACGAGGCACUACGGUGCUGAAGUAACAAAUGCCCUGCUUCCAGGAAAAGCCUCUAAGCAUCAGGUAACACGAAAUCGUACCCCAAACCGACACAGGUGGUCAGGUAGAGAAUACCAAGGCGCUUGAGAGAACUCGGGUGAAGGAACUAGGCAAAAUGGUGCCGUAACUUCGGGAGAAGGCACGCUGACAUGUAGGUGAAGCCCCUGCGGGUGGAGCUGAAGUCAGUCGAAGAUACCAGCUGGCUGCAACUGUUUAUUAAAAACACAGCACUGUGCAAACACGAAAGUGGACGUAUACGGUGUGACGCCUGCCCGGUGCCGGAA
rnacentral:rRNA from 1 species